AAAUUGACUCCGCCCCUCUCCUACAGGCCCGGCCCCGCCCCCAGCACUGGAAUCGGCCGGGCCUAGGCGUCCGCCAGCGGAUUUUCCGCGGUUGCGGCUGUUGGAGCAGGCGGAGCCUGGGCGGAGCCUGCGACUAUUUUAGGCGGGUCCCUGCAGGGCCGGGACUAAGGCGUCCUGUCCUGGACACAGCCUGAGCCAGGGUGAUGCUGAAGAUGGUGACUUUCUUCCAAGGGCUUCCUGGCCAGCAGUCUGUGCCAGGGACCCUGGACCUCCCUGGAAGCCCCCAAAAGCCACGUUCCACAUCCGAGGCAGAAUCAGAGACCUCCAUGUCUGAGGCUUCCUCUGAGGACCUGAUGCCAUCUCAGGAGGCUCCUGAAGGGGAGGAGGAGUCUGCGAAGAAGAAGGAGAAGAAAUCCAAAGGACUGGCCAAUAUGUUCAGUGUCUUCACCAAAGGGAAGAAGAAAAAAAAGGACCAGCCCAGAUUAUCGGAUCCGGAGGUGCAGUCCAAGUCCAGGCCGGAGGAAGAUGGUCCACUGCCCACAGUGGAGGAGCUCAAAGAGGCCCUGGAGCUCGGGCGGCUGGAGGUGGCGUGGCAGGUGCUGGCUUUGGAGCGGCAGCUCGAGGCUGCUGCGGCGGCAGGUGGCACGAGCGACGAGGAGCUGGUGUGGCGGCAGAGCAAGGUGGAGGCGCUGUAUGUACUGCUGCGCGACCAGGUGCUCCGGGUGCUGCGGCGGCCGC
rnacentral:lncRNA from 1 species